AUGAAUGAGAAGAGGAUGGGCCAUGAGUUUCGGAAUGACAGAGACACCCGAUGCUUUGAGCACCUAAAUUUGGUUAGGUUUAGUAGGCUUCUUGAGUAUAGUGGUGAUCGGUUGAUCAUUGUCGAUUACGUUUCCAAUGGCAACCUUCAAGAAACCUCGAAGAAGAAAGAUGCCUUGCAAAUAGAGUUGGAGCAAGGCCUACUGGAGUUCUUUUUUGAGAUGAAAUCUACUGGACUUAGCUUUGAUUUUGUAGAGGAAAAUAUUUAUUGA
rnacentral:rRNA from 1 species